UACGAAGGGGGCUAGCGUUGUUCGGAAUUACUGGGCGUAAAGCGUGCGCAGGCGGCUAUCCAAGUCAGUGGUGAAAGCCCGGAGCUCAACUCCGGAAUUGCCAUUGAAACUGUUUAGCUUGAGUACGAGAGAGGUGAGUGGAAUUCCCAGUGUAGAGGUGAAAUUCGUAGAUAUUCGCAAGAACACCAGUGGCGAAGGCGGCUCACUGGCCCGGAACUGACGCUGAGGUGCGAAAGCGUGGGGAGCAAACAGG
rnacentral:rRNA from 1 species